rnacentral:rRNA from 1 species
UGGGGAAUCUUCCGCAAUGGGCGAAAGCCUGACGGAGCAACGCCGCGUGAGUGAUGAAGGUCUUCGGACUGUAAAACUCUGUUGUCGGGGACGAAGGUGCGCUAUGCGAACAGUUUAGCGUAUUGACGGUACCUGACGAGGAAGCCACGGCUAACUACGUGCCAGCAGUCGCGGUAAUACGUAGGUGGCAAGCGUUGUCCGGGAUUAUUGGGCGUAAAGAGCAUGUAGGCGGACUUUUCAGUCUGGCGU